rnacentral:lncRNA from 1 species
UGAGAGUGGACUUCCCUAGAUGGGAAGAAGGAGACCCAAUUGGUUGGAUCUCGCGCGCGGAGCGAUAUUUUCGGUAUCAUAAAACUGCGGAUGCAUCCAUGGUGGAAAUUACAGCUAUACAUCUUGAAGGGGAUGCCAUACAGUGGUUUGACUGGUUUGAACACACUUAUGGAGUCCUUUCAUGGCGACAAUUCAAAGAAG